CAGACAAUAUCUAAACGGAAUUGUACUGUGGAAGGGUUGACAGGUUGACAGGGUUUCGGGAAUUUGCUUAUAGUCCAUGAUUAUUUGAUAAUAAAAGUAAGGCUUUUGAGAAUACCGCUUGGAUCAUUUUGACCGAGACGGCGAA
rfam:Desulfitobacterium dichloroeliminans LMG P-21439, complete genome.